rnacentral:rRNA from 1 species
UACGGGGGGAGCAAGCGUUGUUCGGAUUUACUGGGCGUAAAGGGCGCGUAGGCGGUCGUGACAAGUCACUUGUGAAAUCUCCGGGCUUAACUCGGAACGGUCAAGUGAUACUGUCGGACUAGAGUACAGAAGGGGCAACUGGAAUUCUCGGUGUAGCGGUGAAAUGCGUAGAUAUCAGGAGGAACACCGGUGGCGAAGGCGGUUCUCUGGGCCUGUACUGACGCUGAGGAACGAAAGCGUGGGGAGCGAACAGG